UACAGAGGUCCCAAGCGUUGUUCGGAUUCACUGGGCGUAAAGGGUGCGUAGGCGGUCGGGUAAGUCUGAUGUGAAAGCUCGGAGCUCAACUCCGAAAUGGCAUCGGAUACUAUUCGGCUCGAGGAAUGGAGGGGAGACUGGAAUACUUGGUGUAGCAGUGAAAUGCGUAGAUAUCAAGUGGAACACCAGUGGCGAAGGCGAGUCUCUGGACAUUUCCUGACGCUGAGGCACGAAAGCCAGGGGAGCAAACGGGAUUAGAAACCCGCGUAGUCC
rnacentral:rRNA from 1 species